CAAUAGCGUAUAUUAAAGUUGUUGCGGUUAAAAAGCUCGUAGUUGGAUUUCUGCUGAGGACGAUCGGUCCGCCCUCUGGGUGAGUAUCUGGCUCGGCCUUGGCAUCUUCUUGGAGAACGUUACUGCACUUGACUGUGUGGUGCGGUAUCCAGGACUUUUACUUUGAGGAAAUUAGAGUGUUUCAAGCAGGCGCACGCCUUGAAUACAUUAGCAUGGAAUAAUAAGAUAGGACCUUGGUUCUAUUUUGUUGGUUUCUAGAGCUGAGGUAAUGAUUAAUAGGGAUAGUUGGGGGCAUUCGUAUUUAACUGCCAGAGGUGAAAUUCUUGGAUUUGUUAAAGACGGACUACUGCGAAAGCAUUUGCCAAGGAUGUUUUCAUUGA
rnacentral:rRNA from 1 species